ACAGAUUGAUUCCUUUGCUUUUUGGAGCUGGUCAACGGAACGAGCCAAGAGGGAAAUACGCGCUCCCUCCGAUGCAGCUUGUUUGGCUAUGGCUAGCCCGAUGCCCAUUGAACCGCCUGUUAUGAAAACGUGUCGGUUUUUAAUAGGUAUGUUAAUGGGCCGGGGCCGAACGAUGAAGUAGAGGAGGAGGAGAAGGAUUGGUAGGAGGAGAAGACCGAAGAGCACCAUUGAAGUUUAAUUUGUUUAGGGAGAGAAAUAAUUAAGGUUAAACAAGUAUCUCUCUCUAGUCUAACAUUAUUUACCCCUUCUAUUCGGGAAUAAUACGCAAGUUUUAAGCAUAAAUAUGAAUGUACAGACCCAUUUUGCCCUAGCCCAAACUCCCAAUACCCAAAACUAUAAUAUUUCGGCUAGAGAGUUUUUUCUUUGAACACCUAUAUAAAUCAAGGGCAAAAAUAGAUUAAAAAAAAACAAAUAGAUCCAGUCCAAGGUGAAUUUCAGUUUAUAUUUCUUUUUCUUUUAUUUACUUUUAUCUUUAUUUUAUUUUUUUCCUCUCCAAAAACAGUCCAUAUAGUGACUAUUUUGUAACUUAAGGGAAAAGAUUGUAUAGAGUUUAAAUCCCUUAGUAUUCUCAUUUUGUCGGUAGAUUUAAUCUCAGCCGUUAACAUAAUUGAAACUAUGUUGUUGAAUCAAAUACUUUUUUUAGAGUAUUUACUCAAACACAAUGAAAGUAGAUUAUCUUUCCAUUCAUUUUUUUUUUAUUUCAAAAAUUCCAUGAUCCCUUCCCGAACCAAACAUGAACCUUUCGAUUCAUUUGGCUCUCACGCUCAAUUAUUUCUUAUUUAUUGGGAAUUAAUUCCCGUGUGUUUUUCUUGUGACUUUUCUAUAGGCGAAUUUUAAAACACUUUGUGUGUAUUUCUUGUGACUUUUCUAUAGGCGAAUUUGAAAUUAAGCUUUCACUUAAGGAAGCGCGGCUUACAAAAACUAAAGUUCUAACAUCGUGAAACUAGCUUGAUAAAAUUGUCAUCGGAAAGAACUAGCAGAUCAACGCGUUUGAAUUUCUCAUUAUCCUUUCUCCCUUAUUUAUCACUACCGCCCUUGUUCUCUCUUUUCCCCUUUAAAAAAAAUGCAGUACUUUUAUUUUUUCUCUAUUUUUCUUUUUGAGUGUUACUUUUACUUUUCUGAACGUCUAAAAUGUAAAAAUAUAUGUCAAUGCGUCGCCAUUUUAUUAAAAAGAAAAGAAAAAAAAUUGAAUUUUCUCGCGUAUAAUAGAAUUUAUGGCCGAACAAAUAAUUACUCUCAAAAUUACUUAUUAGAAUAAUCUUUUUUACCAUGAAAAUAACUCUAAUUACUUUUUUAACAUGGAUCUCUAAUCUAGUUUUGCAAGUGAAACCAUCUGAAAGUAAUUAUAACAUAUACAUACACAUAGACAUAUAUAAACCAAAAAUGCACACUUUUUAAUUUUAUUUUUAUGUCUUUGUUUUAAUCAGAGUAAGGUUGCUUCUACUGAUUAACAAUAGCGAGACGUUCAUCUAAAAUUUAUUCCACUUGCUGUUUUUUAUGCGAGUAGUUGUAUUUUUCUAUAAUCUCAUAGCCUCUCCAUUGCAAAAGCAGAGCUACAAAGCGAAAUAGACCUGCAAAAACCACUUCAAUAGAUGCCAUGAGGAAAGAUGUCUGAGGGGAUAAACCAGCUGUAGCUAUUGCCACUGCUCGUCCAUCAAGCCUGCAGGGUAUGCUAAAACUUCCUGAUUUAAUGCUUUGUAUUGUUAUCUUCCCAACUUCUUCAGCUUUCAUUCCAGGAGAUGACUCCAAUAUGAUCUUGGUGAUUUCCGGCAUUCUCUCCCUUGCUUCAAAUGUUAGUACAGAAAUGAACUCCACUUUAUAACUUCAUAACAGUAAAAUCUUGUCGAUAUACACAAUUAUGGUGGGGCAAAUGCAAACAAAUUAAAAGUUAAUCUAUGAUUUGAAAGAAAAUAAAAAUAUAUUCCAAAUUAACCUUGUUCAAUACCCGAAGUUUCAGUAACGGGAGGGAAAAUGAUAGAGAGAUGAAUGUUGUUCACCAAAAGUUCCUGUUGCAAUGCCUCUGCUAGUCCUCUGAGCCCAAAUUUGGUUGCUGAGUAAGCCGCAAAACCAUAUAUACCCGCCUAUAUUUAUUAAAUAUUGUACGUCAUGAGUAUAAGAAUCAUACAAGGCUAAUAUCUCAUUUGGUUUAUAUUAAACCUGGCCGGCCAUUGAAGACAUAAGAGCAAUGGAGGCAGGUCCCUUGUCCUUUCUAUCCUUCAUUAACGGCAAAGCUGCUUUGAUGACAUUGAAGCUUCCCAUCAGAUUCACGUCUACCAUCGUCUUCAUCACAUCUAGUCCUUGGGUCUCAAACUCCUCCAUGUAAUACACCCCAUGGUUAACUACUAGAACAUCGAUAGGGCCAGCCUCUUUUAUCGCACGCUCAACGGCAUCGUAGUCACGAACAUCAGCACUAAAGAUCGAGACCUCGACUUCAUAGGCUUGACAGAUUGAUUCCUUUGCUUUUUGGAGCCGGUCAACGGAGCGAGCCAAGAGGGAAAUACGCGCUCCCUCCGAUGCAGCUUGUUUGGCUAUGGCUAGCCCGAUGCCCAUUGAACCGCCUGUUAUGAAAACGUGUCGGUUUUUAAUAGGUAUGUUAAUGGGCCGGGGCCGAACGAUGAAGUAGAGGAGGAGGAGAAGGAUUGGUAGGAGGAGAAGACCGAAGAGCACCAUUGAAGUUUAAUUUGUUUUAGGGAGAGAAAUAAUUAAGGUUAAGCAAGCAUCUC
rnacentral:lncRNA from 1 species